GUGCAUCGGCAGCUAUACAUGCAAGUCGAACGCAUUCUAGCAAUAGGAUGAGUGGCGCACGGGUGCGUAACGCGUAACCAACCUACCUACAUCUGGGGGAUAGCCCGCCGAAAGGCGGAUUAAUACCGCAUAAACCAGCAGAACGGCAUCGUUUCACUGGUAAAGAUUUAUUGGAUGUAGAUGGGGUUGCGUGCCAUUAGCUAGUUGGCGGGGUAACGGCCCACCAAGGCGACGAUGGCUAGGGGACCUGAGAGGGUGAUCCCCCACACUGGCACUGAGAUACGGGCCAGACUCCUACGGGAGGCAGCAGUAGGGAAUAUUGGGCAAUGGGCGAGAGCCUGACCCAGCCAUGCCGCGUGCAGGAUGAAGGCCUUCUGGGUUGUAAACUGCUUUUCUCAGGGAAGAAAAAGGGGAUGCGUCCCAAACUGACGGUACCUGAGGAAUAAGCACCGGCUAACUCCGUGCCAGCAGCCGCGGUAAUACGGAGGGUGCAAGCGUUGUCCGGAUUUAUUGGGUUUAAAGGGUGCGUAGGUGGCCCGUUAAGUCCGGGGUGAAAGCCCACUGCUCAACAGUGGAACUGCCCUGGAUACUGGCGGGCUUGAGUCCAGACGAGGUUGGCGGAAUGGAUGGUGUAGCGGUGAAAUGCAUAGAUACCAUCCAGAACCCCGAUUGCGUAGGCAGCUGACUAGGCUGGUACUGACACUGAGGCACGAAAGCGUGGGGAGCGAACAGGAUUAGAUACCCUGGUAGUCCACGCCGUAAACGAUGGAUACUCGUUGCUAGCGAUACACCGUUAGUGACUUAGCGAAAGCGUUAAGUAUCCCACCUGGGGAGUACGCUCGCAAGAGUGAAACUCAAAGGAAUUGACGG
rnacentral:rRNA from 1 species